rnacentral:rRNA from 3 species
AAAUUGAAGAGUUUGAUCAUGGCUCAGAUUGAACGCUGGCGGCAGGCCUAACACAUGCAAGUCGAACGGUAACAGGAAGCAGCUUGCUGCUUCGCUGACGAGUGGCGGACGGGUGAGUAAUGUCUGGGAAACUGCCUGAUGGAGGGGGAUAACUACUGGAAACGGUGGCUAAUACCGCAUAACGUCGCAAGACCAAAGAGGGGGACCUUCGGGCCUCUUGCCAUCAGAUGUGCCCAGAUGGGAUUAGCUUGUUGGUGAGGUAACGGCUCACCAAGGCGACGAUCCCUAGCUGGUCUGAGAGGAUGACCAGCCACACUGGAACUGAGACACGGUCCAGACUCCUACGGGAGGCAGCAGUGGGGAAUAUUGCACAAUGGGCGCAAGCCUGAUGCAGCCAUGCCGC